UGCUUAAGCAAUGCAAGUCGAACGGUAAGGCCCCUUCGGGGGUACACGAGUGGCGCACGGGUGAGUAACGCGUGGGUAAUCUGCCGUCGGGUCGGGGACAACUCCGGGAAACUGGAGCUAAUACCGGAUGAGACCACGAGAUCUCCGGAUCUCGCGGACAAAGAUGGCCUCUGCUUGCAAGCUAUCGCCCGACGAUGAGCCCGCGUCCCAUUAGCUUGUUGGUGAGGUAACGGCUCACCAAGGCGACGAUGGGUAGCUGGUCUGAGAGGAUGAUCAGCCACACUGGAACUGAGACACGGUCCAGACUCCUACGGGAGGCAGCAGUCGGGAAUUUUUGGGCAAUGGGCGAAAGCCUGACCCAGCAACGCCGCGUGAGGGAUGAAGGCCUUCGGGUCGUAAACCUCUGUCGGGAGGGAAGAACGUCCUCGGGGUGAACAAUCCCGAGGGCUGACGGUACCUCCAAAGGAAGCGCCGGCUAACUCCGUG
rnacentral:rRNA from 1 species